rnacentral:rRNA from 1 species
GACGGAGGGUGCUAGCGUUGUUCGGAAUUACUGGGCGUAAAGGGCGCGUAGGCGGCCGCUUGCGUCGGAUGUGAAAGCCCGGGGCUCAACCCCGGAACGGCAUCCGAUACGGGGUGGCUCGAGACCGGGAGAGGAGGGUGGAAUACCCAGUGUAGAGGUGAAAUUCGUAGAUAUUGGGUGGAACACCGGUGGCGAAAGCGGCUCUCUGGCCCGGUUCUGACGCUGAGGCGCGAAAAGCGUGGGGAGCAAACAGGAUAGAAACCCCGGUGA